GCGGAAGUGGCGGAAUUGGCAUACGCGCUAGUCUCAGAAGCUAGUCCCGCAAGGGUUGAGAGUUCAAAUCUCUCCUUCCGCA
rnacentral:tRNA from 1 species